GACGAACGCUGGCGGCGUGCUUAACACAUGCAAGUCGAGCGGAAAGGCCCUGCUUUUGUGGGGUGCUCGAGUGGCGAACGGGUGAGUGACACGUGAGUAAACUGCACUUGACUUUGGGAUAACUUCAGGGAACUGGGGCUCAUACCGGAUAGGAGCUCCUGCUGCAUGGUGGGGGUUGGAAAGUUUCGGCGGUUGGGGCUGGAAUCGCGGCUUAUCCGCUGGUUGGUGGGGUAGGGGCUUACCAAGGUUUUGACGGGUAGCCGGCCUGAGAGGGUGACCGGCCACAUUGGGACUGAGAUACGGCGCAGACUCGUACGGGAGGCAGUAGUGGGGAAUAUUGCGCAAUGGGCGGAAGCCUGAUGCAGCAACGCCGCGUGCGGGAUGACGUGCUACGGGUUGAAAACCGCUGUGUCCUGUGACGAAGCGUGAGUGACGGUAAUGGGUAAGGAAGCACCGGCUAACUACGUG
rnacentral:rRNA from 1 species